UACGUAGGGUGCGAGCGUUGUCCGGAAUUAUUGGGCGUAAAGAGCUCGUAGGCGGUGUGUCGCGUCGGCCGUGAAAACCUGGGGCUUAACUCUGGGCGUGCGGUCGAUACGGGCAUCACUAGAGUUCGGCAGGGGAGACUGGAAUUCCUGGUGUAGCGGUGAAAUGCGCAGAUAUCGGGAGGAACACCAGUAGCGAAGGCGACACUCUGGGCCGGUACUGACGCUGAGGAGCGAAAGCGUGGGGAGCGAACAGG
rnacentral:rRNA from 1 species